CUCUCGAUUCCGCUCGAUCCUCGAUCCUCUCUCUUCCGUUCUGUCAGCAGUUCCUCCCGUCAUUGUCGCAACGUGUUGCUCGCGACGAGCCCUCUUCUCGCGUUUGCGAGAUUGAUGGCUAACGCUUGUGAGAGCAGUUAUCAUCAGUCAUUCGUUCAACGGUAAUUGUCGCCAUCGAUCUAAGUUACGUCGAGAGAUUAGCGUCGGAGAGGUGAAAACGGUCAUUUAAACCUCUGGUAUUAGCCAUAUUAAGUAAGUAACUUCAUUUAUCCUUAAUUAGCUGUCAUUCAAAUGUUUUAAUUAUUUGUUAUUACUUCUGCAUGUUUCGAAAUCACAGUAAGUAUAAUAGGUGCAUACACGUUUGCCUUUAUUUUCUUGAAAUGCUUCUGACGUUUCCGAAACUAAUAAACAAGAGGAACGGGACUAGGCACGCUGCGUAAAUCAAACGGUGGAUUUAGAACUAAUACCGGUCGCGUGGGAAAAACGUUGACAACUUGUUGACAGGCUCCCGGUGUUAUCUCUGUAAUCGAUCAAAUUGUUAUUAUCGCGCCGUUUCACCUCGGUGCGGCGUGGUAAUUGCGCGAACGCGCCGCCGUUAUGUACCGUUGGGUCAUUCCUGAAAUAUAGUUAUCACGGCUACACCUAGCGAGACUGUUAUUUGUGAAAAAGGCCCGGUGCGCGAUUAGCGCGGAUGAAUAGUAUCAUAUAAUACAGCCCAAUCACGAUCGCGUGCGCUCAAUCCGCGAGAUCUUAAUUAGAACGCAUGACUGGCGAAUCGCUCGAUCCUUUCGCGGCUGCUGCGCUCCACGGAUUUUUCCGGACAACAUGGUCCAGCAUCCGGUCGAUUCCCCCGGGUGCAGCCCUCUCUUUUACUUUCUCUUUCUCUCUCUAUGCCGUGCAAUUAAGUUGCACGGCUGAGUUUCCGCCGCGGAUGCAAUUAUGCCGGAUCGCGCGAAGCGUAUCUACAAUUAAUGAUCGUGCGGGCCGCGGACACUGGUCGCCACCAAAGUCGAUAAAUAACGGAUAUUAAUUCGUGCGCCGCGGUAUUACAAUAUAUCUUGACGUUUUUAACGAGCCGACUAUAAAUAUAGAGCGUGUAUUAAAUCCGGGAGCCUUAUGUCGCGAACGCGAAUACGCGGGCCGAUUUAUUUUCUAAAGCGUAACAGAGCAGCGUUAGAGUUUGGAUUAACUCCAGAGAUCAUUCAUAUAUCAUAGAUUACAUUUUUAAUUUCGAGCACCUUUAGUAGUCUAUUUAUUCCUACUGUGUUAUUAACUCGGAAUAAUUUUUGCAUGGAUUUUAUUAAACAUUCAACGCUGCAUGUGUAUUUAUACGUGGAACAUGAAAUACUUUGAGCAAUUUUCAAUUUUUGAAAACAACCGUGUUUUAGAUUAUGUCUAAGAAAAUGAUUCAAGAAAAGUAUACAAGUUCAAAUGAGAAUGUCGUAAAUAGGAUAAAAUAUGUGAGAAGAUAAAUAACAGAGGAAAUUAACUUAUCAAUUUAAAAUGAAAUCAAGCUCGAAAAGAAUCUUUAAACCAACUAUACGGCAUUAAAUCUUUCGUUCACAUCCUCUUACUCGACGUCUGCACGGUUGAGAUAUUGGACUAGCGCGCUCCUGCGUUGAUAUAUAGGCUACCAGGCGGGGAAACUCGCCCGAAACACGGAGAAACGAGCGGGAUUAAAUCACUGUAUCCGUUGACUUCACAUCGCGUGUCACGGCGUUGUUAUUUCAUAAACGCCAUUCACCCUCAGGAGAAGGCGAAGAAAAAACGACGUCGAUCUCCGAUCGCGGGGACGAGCGUGAAGCUGGCGCGAAGACCCGCCACGAGUCUCGCCCCGGCGCGGCUGCUCGUAAUUGCCCGCGGAGACUUUUAAUCGAUCGUUCAAUUCCGCGGCGUCGAAAGAGUCGAUUUUAUGGCGACGUACACGCUCAUUACGCGAUCCGCGCACCCCGUAUACGCACCCCGCGGGCUACCCGUGUGUGCGUUCGCCGGCCAGCCAGGUGUCGGUUCUCGCUCACCGGGGGUUCGAUGCUAACCGCCCCGUGUAGAUCAUUACGGAUCCGUGGCAAAACGAAGAGCCAUUUCGCCCGGAACGAUCUCCUUCUCUCUCUCUCUCUCUCUUUUUCUCUCUUUGUUCAUUUUUUCUUUCCACUGCGAGGCGGCAACCGACUAUCUCGCCGGCCGAGUCGAGACCCCUUUUUUCGUCCCGUGAUUUAUCGAGAUUCCACCGAGAGUAUCGCCAAUCUUCACGAAUCCUCAUAAUUCGCCGGGUCGAAAAAAGAUAUCUUUAUGUAUCAAGUAAUGUAGAGUUUCUGCGACUUUUACAUGGUCUGUAUGUGUGUUAAGUUUGUGAAGUUCGCAGUUGCAAACUACCCUCGGAACGUGAAGGGAAAAUAGAAAAGUACAUGAAUGAGUGAAGUAAGAUUCAAACUUCAUACCUCGGAGUGUAUUAAAACUAUCGCAAAGAAAAGUACAUUUAAACAACUGACCAUCAAAGUUAUAUUAUCGCAAAGAAAAGUACAUUUAAACAACUGGUCAUCAAAGUUAUAUUAUCGCAAAGAAAAGUACAUUUAAACAACUGGCCAUCAAAGUUAUACAUAGUAAUUUCCUAUCUUCUUUUCGAAACUUUGUGUCUUUAAAUUGAGGUAAAUGUUAAUCAAAUUAAUCAUAAGUAAUACAGUCUCUAUUCGCACGAGUAUUCUUGCGACAUUUAGCACACGAUAAAGCGGUGGAGCCAUUUCACCCCCGAGUCUGUAUUGCUUUGGGACCAGACUUCCUCUCGGGGAUGCUGACGAACCGGAACCACGUGACGUAGUUUUUCAAACAAACCAUCCAAACGCGAUGAGACCAGACCAAACGGGAUAACGCGCGAUACGUCGUCGCGUAACGCCGAUUUUUCUGCGACACGUGCACCGAGAAAAUAGAAAACGCCACUAUGUUGCCCUCCAUGAACGCGUGUCACUUGAUGAAUGUUAUUCCAAGUACUAUUAGUUUUAUGUGCUUGUCGUUAAUUCUACGCUUGCGGCACGAAAUUACAUAAAUAAUCUGUAUGUAUCUAUCUUAAUAUUAUCAACAAUAAAUUUAUCAUUUUUACUCUUUAUCCGAUUAUUGACGAAACACGUGCAUAAAUGCUUGUACUAAAUUAUCUUUAAGAUAUUUUGUCUUAAAUAUAAUGUCAAACUUUUAUUAUAGACUAUUUAUUCUCGACUAUAAAUCAUAUAUAGAUUUAUCGUUACUUUUUGAUCACUGCGUUAAAGUCUGAAGGCACGAAGGGAUGUUGCAUCUCAGCGGACCGGAGAUCACAGGAAAAAAGGGUUUGCGAAUUCCUGCACGGGGUGUAACGAAUCUCUGGAGGUUCUUCAUUGGGCACCACGUGCCCAAGUGGUACCACGACAACGUAUACCCACUUCAAGAUCCUCAUGGCUCUCGCGCCAAUCCGGAAACGGAAGGCGGCCCUCCUGGUCGAGCAAGGGAGAGGAAGAGAACGCGGAGGGUACUUAACCCUUUGUGAAUCAGCGCGAAGGACGAAGAUAGAAGCAACCGAACUGAAAUUCGAUCGUCACCUCCUCAUUGUCCCACGUGCCGAGAACCUCCUGGGGAUAGUUCAUGCAUUGUUCGAAGGGGAACACGUAAUGCGGAAGUGUCCAACAAACAUGCUGACUGUCAUGCACCGCGAAAUCUGCCUAUGCACAAUCAUUAAUACGGAUUAUGGUUGGCGUUGCGUUACACCGUAACCUCCCUGCGAUCUAUUUUCGAAUAAUCCCUCGCGCAAACCAACAAACAGCGACAGCUGUUGACGAUUGUAUUACACAAACGAUACACGCAUUCACUUCGACAUCGGGCAGGCAAAUGAGAUAACUACUUGCCGAGACAUAAAAGACGCACGGUCAACCGACGCUGAAUGAAUUUUACAGUGGUUUCGCAGAGAUCUCUCGGAUAAGUAAGAAAAUCUGCUGGUGAACUUGUGACAUAAGACGAUUAAAGCUCUUGUCCGGUCAAGGAACUGUUAAAUUGUCAGUUGCGCUGCAUAGGGAUUACAAGCAUUCUUUUCUGAGCGUUAUACUAAAUCUUAUUAUAAUAAUAUCAUAUUAUUAAGUUAUUCGAAAAAUUUUAUUGACAUUUCUAAAGAAUU